rnacentral:tRNA from 1 species
GCCCAGGUGGUGGAACUUGGUAGACACGUAGCGUUCAGGGCGCUAUAACCGCAAGGUUGUGGAGGUUCAAAUCCUCUCCUGGGCA